rnacentral:rRNA from 1 species
UGUGCCCAGAUGGGAUUAGCUAGUAGGUGGGGUAAAGGCUCACCUAGGCGACGAUCCCUAGCUGGUCUGAGAGGAUGACCAGCCACACUGGAACUGAGACACGGUCCAGACUCCUACGGGAGGCAGCAUG